UAGGGAAUCUUCCGCAAUGGACGCAAGUCUGACGGAGCAACGCCGCGUGAGUGAAGAAGGAUUUCGGUUCGUAAAACUCUGUUGUUAGAGAAGAACAGCGCAUAGAGUAACUGUUAUGCGUGUGACGGUAUCUAACCAGAAAGCCACGGCUAACUACGUGCCAGCAGCCGCGGUAAUACGUAGGUGGCAAGCGUUGUCCGGAUUUAUUGGGCGUAAAGCGAGCGCAGGCGGUCAAUUAAGUCUGAUGUGAAAGCCCCCGGCUCAACCGGGGAGGGUCAUUGGAAACUGGUUGACUUGUGUGCAGAAGAGGAGAGUGGAAUUCCAUGUGUAGCGGUGAAAUGCGUAGAUAUAUGGAGGAACACCAGUGGCGAAGGCGACUCUCUGGUCUGUAACUGACGCUGAGGCUCGAAAGCGUGGGUAGCAAACAGG
rnacentral:rRNA from 1 species